AAAAAAAAAAAAAAAGAUGUGUACUUCUGCUGUGAGAUUUCCUAGUGUCAUAAUUAAAUCAAUAAAAUUGAACAUUUGUCUAAAUAUUAGUUUGCCCUUUUUUUUGAAUGAAGACAAUGUACAUAAGAGGCUAUGGGCUGUGCCAGUAGACUUUAAAUACUAGUGUUUCAUCAGGAUCCUAAAUCCCAGUUCUUGGCCCUCAGUUUUGUUGUUAGCAUUUGCCACUUUGUAACCUGAUGACCUGCUUCAUCCUGUUUGAGGACCUAACUCCUGCUUCUGGUCGUUCAUAACCUCCCGAAGCCCAGACAGCACAGAUGAUGGUCCUGGAAAUCCCUCCUGUGUGGCUCUAACGAUGCAGUUACAGAUCACAGUCUACCGUUAAGUUGAAGAGUGAGUGAGCUCUCCCAGUGGAGAACGAGGUUAACUCAGGACCAGCCGCUGCGUUUUCACCUGGCUCUGAAAUUCGCAGAAUACAUUUCGUACUUUGCCGUGAGUGCGGACCAGUGAGGCCAUCUUCCAACCACCAGGCUCUCGGUCCUCGGGCGGCCGCUCCCCUCGCACUUCUCAUCUGCUUUCCCGUGGACUGUAGCGAAGCCCGUGCUCCCCCUGUGAGUCGUAAUCGUCGUGGUACGGGAGGUGGACCCACUCGGGCGGGUAGGUGGCCGUGCUGUACACGAAGCACUGUAGGGUCCCGCCCGCCCCCUCAACAGCGACUGUCACCCGGGUGCGCUGGUACAUGUCCGGGCAGCCUUCGAACUCGUCCAGAAAGCGCAGCAUCUGCUCGUCCACGGCGUAGACCUCCCCAGCCACUCGGCGCCCCUGGCCCGGCAGGUUCAGCAGCCGUGGGAUGUUGCGCUGCCCCGCGAUCACCAGCGGGUACGGUUCGACCGUGCGACCCCAGCCCCGGAAGGCCGCGCGACCGUGGGCGCUCUCCAGCAGGACCCGGUGGUUGGGCUGGCCCGUCUUCAGGGUCCCGUACACGAACACGUGGGCCAUGC